UCCCUGGUGGUUCAGUGACUAAGACACCACACUCCCAAUGCAGGGAACCCGGGUUUGACUCCUGGUCAGGGAA
rnacentral:tRNA from 1 species